rnacentral:RNase_P_RNA from 1 species
UCAGUUGGCCGGGCGAUCGCAGUCCCUGGAAUCGGGGAUUGAGGAAAGUCCGCGCUCCACAUAGCAGGGUGCCGGGUAACUCCCGGGCGGGGUGACCCGCGGAUCGGGCCACAGAAAACGACCGCCAGCCGGACUAUCGGUCUCGGCUGGUAAGGGUGAAACGGCGGUGUAAGAGACCACCGGGGCCGGCAGCAAUGUCGGUCGCCAGGUAACCCUCACCCGGAGCAAGGCCGAGCAGGUGCAAAGUUCGUGAAAUUCGCGUUCGUGAGGAUGCGACGAGCGGGAAGCGGCUCGCUUCCCUUGAGCACCGGGUAGGCUGCACGAGCGGCGCGGUGACGCUCCGCCCAGAUAGAUGAUCGCCCAAGCGCGGGGAGGAAGGCAAGGUCUGCCCAGCGGCGAAAGCCGUCGGGCACAGGCCUCGUCGUAAACCCGGGCCGGACAGAACGCGGCUUACAGGUCGACUGCCGUU